rnacentral:rRNA from 1 species
UACGUAGGUGGCAAGCGUUGUCCGGAUUUACUGGGCGUAAAGGAUGCGUAGGCGGACAUUUAAGUCAGAUGUGAAAUACCCGAGCUUAACUUGGGUGCUGCAUUUGAAACUGGGUGUCUAGAGUGCAGGAGAGGUAAGUGGAAUUCCUAGUGUAGCGGUGAAAUGCGUAGAGAUUAGGAAGAACACCAGUGGCGAAGGCGACUUACUGGACUGUAACUGACGCUGAGGCAUGAAAGCGUGGGGAGCAGACAGG